GUGGAAUCAGACUGCCAAGAACGCCUUAUAACACAAGGGAAGUGUCAAGCUCACGAGACCUGUGUCCCUCCAUACAGCUCAGAGAAGGCAGCAUGAAGACAGCUCUACUUUGCUCCUCUACAGUGAACCCUUUGAAAUACUGGCCUCACUUCGAAUACCUAUCCUGCAAGCUGUAACUUUUCCAUACGGGUUAAGGAAAAAACAUCCCUUUUGGAUUCAGCUAUGAAGGGCAAUCUAAUAGAAUAAACGCAACCCAAGCUAAA